CUUUUUACUGCUACUGCAAAAUUGUUGUCUGAUUUCAACUAUACCAAUCGAUUCUAUAUCAAUGGAAAUUUCGUUUUCUUACUGGGUCUCUGAGUCUCCGACUGGAAUUCAACUAUACCAAUCGAUUCUACGAUAAUUGAUUCGAUCACCAUGUUCGUCGACUACGUUGGUCUUGCCACGCUUCAGCAGCUCGGUGUUUUGAAGUAGAGCUCAAGAGCCAUUGAUUCAGGCAGUGAGAUAGAGGUUGAAUUAAGAACAAGUUCCAUCUUUUGCCGAGAAAAAUGGCUCUCUCCGACGAACUGCAAAUUCUUCUGCGGCGGAUUCCCUUAUCGGCUAUUCAAUUCCAAAUAAGCUAAGAGGAAGAACUUGAAUUCUUUGUAAUUGGAAGUUUUCCAUCAUAUGUGCUCUUCAUAACGUCUGGCUUCUUCACUAUCCGAGCUCCUGUUGGAACUUUUCGGGUCUUUGGACGAAUAUCCUGCGUGUGCACAUAAGAAAAUCAUUUGAUGUUUGGCAUUUUCCAUUGUUGAGGAAUUGAUGUAAAGAAGAGAGCAAGCUCAGGUGUAGUCGUAAAGAACAGAGGACUGUAACUUCAAACCUGAUCAAAGAUGGCAGUGGGUAUUGCAAGUGUAGCAACGGCAUUUGGAGAAUCGACUAUACCGGAUAUUCUUCCUUCGCAUGGACAGCAUGAGAGUUCUGUGAGACACAUCUUGUUGCGGAGAUCAGUACCUGUUCUUUUGAGUAACCGAAUUUGAAGAGAUAGUCUAUAGCGUUGAGAACUGCUCGUUUGUAUGCAACUGUUGCAUCUAGGUAAUGUUGUCUUCCGCUCUCAUCGACACUGAUACCCUCGAAGACAAGCCACUCUGAGAAUCUUGGUUCCACUGGCCCUAUCUCAAAGAUCGGGUUUACGUGGAGAGUGGUUGGUCCCAUUGGUGUAAGUGCCAAUGAUUCCUGGAUGUGUCAACCCUGGAAAUCGUACUCCUGCCGUGCCGUGAUGUGAUGUUGUUAGAAUGUGAAUAAUCAACAGAACAUCUCAUCACAACAUGAUUGUGCUACUAAUCUGCUUGACAAAAAACAGGAUGAUGUUGUGCUCUAACCAGGAAUUUGAGGAGAGUAGGCAUAAAUCCCUUCAAAGUACCAAAUAGCUUUGGUCGCACAAGGGAAAUGGUCAGUCAAGAAACCACCGCCAUUCUCUCUAUCAAAUGAAGCAGUGAAUCCCCAUUCAUCUCCUGGAAGAGGACCCAAGUUGCAUAUCUCAACAGCAAGAAGAUCACCUGGCCUAGCUGCAACACCAUCCUCAUCCACAACUUUGAUCGGCCCACUCAGUAGAGAGGUCUAUGCUCUUAAUAUCGCCAGCAGAGCCAUCUUCUUUGACUGCACCUCCCGUCCAGUCAACCAUUUCCACCCUAAACAACUCAC